rnacentral:tRNA from 1 species
GUGCCGUGGCCGAUGAGGUCGCGGUACUUCAAUUGUGUAUUGGAAAGGUUAAUGCGGAGCAACUGAAUGCAGGUUAUUCGCCUACACGACACG